rnacentral:rRNA from 1 species
GACGAACGCUGGCGGCGUGCCUAAUACAUGCAAGUAGGACGCAGUUGCGAACGGGUGAGUAACGCGUGGGUAACUACCUAUUAGAGGGGGAUAACUAUUGGAAACGAUAGCUAAUACCGCAUACUAGUAGAUGGACCUGCGUUGUAUUAGCUAGUAGGUAGGGUAAUGGGCUACCUAGGCAACGAUACAUAGACGACCUGUGAGGGGUGUCGGCCACACUGGGAAUGGGACCAGGCCCAGACUCCUACCGGAGGCAGCAGUAGGGAAUCUUCGGCAAUUGGGGGAACUCUGACCGAGCAACGGCGCGUGAGUGAAGAAGGUUUUCGGGUCGUAAAGCUCUGUUGUUAAGGAAGCGGUACUUAACCAGAAAGGGACGGCUAACUACGUGCCAGCAGCCGCGGUAAUUC